rnacentral:rRNA from 1 species
UCGAGAAUCUUCCGCAAUGGGCGCAAGCCUGACGGAGCGACGCCGCGUGUGCGAUGAAGGCCUUCGGGUUGUAAAGCACUGUCGAGGGGGAGAAAGGCGCAAGCUUGAUCUAUCCCUGGAGGAAGCACGGGCUAAGUUCGUGCCAGCAGCCGCGGUAAGACGAACCGUGCGAACGUUGUUCGGAAUCACUGGGCUUAAAGGGCGCGUAGGCGGGUGACCAAGUCAGAGGUGAAAGCCUCCAGCUCAACUGGAGAAGUGCCCCUGAUACUGGUCGUCUUGAGGGAGGUAGGGGCACGUGGAACUUCCAGUGGAGCGGUGAAAUGCGUUGAUAUUGGAAGGAACGCCGGUGGCGAAAGCGACGUGCUGGACCUCUUCUGACGCUGAGGCGCGAAAGCCAGGGGAGCGAACGGGAUUAGAUACCCCGGUAGUCC